rnacentral:rRNA from 1 species
CCAGACUCCUACGGGCGGCAGCAGUGAGGAAUAUUGGUCAAUGGGCGCGAGCCUGAACCAGCCAAGUAGCGUGAAGGAUGACUGUCCUACGGGUUGUAAACUUCUUUUAUAAAGGAAUAAAGUGAGGCACGUGUGCCUUUUUGUAUGUACUUUAUGAAUAAGGAUCGGCUAACUCCGUGCCAGCAGCCGCGGUAAUACGGAGGAUACGAGCGUUAUCCGGAUUUAUUGGGUUUAAAGGUGGCGUAGAUGGGUUGUUAAGUCAGUUGUGAAAGUUUGCGGCUCAACCGUAAAAUUGCAAUUGAUACUGGCAGCCUUGAGUACAGUUGAGGUAGGCGGAAUUCGUGGUGUAGCGGUGAAAUGCUUAGAUAUCACGAAGAACUCCGAUUGCGAAGGCAGCUCACUGGACUGCAACUGACACUGAGGCUCGAAAGUGUGGGUAUCAAACAGGAUUAGAUACCCUGGUAU